rnacentral:lncRNA from 1 species
CCAUAGUCAAGGAUUUCUUCAUUUGGGUCCUAGUGCUCUGUGGGGUUUAAAAUGAACAGCACCCCAGAACCAGCUGGCUGAGGUGACUCUUCUCUAUAGUCUCUAUCUCUCUAAUCUAUCUAUUUUUGAGUCUCAUACAGGACUCCCAUUAGGCUGUGUUCAGGUUGGUCUGGCCUGCUGCUUGCUGUGAGUAGCGCUGCUGUGGAGACAGUGUGAAGGAAGAUAGUGCCAUCCCAGACAAUCCAUCAUCUCACUGCGGGUGGAACACACAACAACACUGCUCCACUGUGGGCCAUUUCAAGUCAUUUACACAUUACUGAACGGCUGCAGUCAACAGCACCG